AACGAACGCUGGCGGCGUGCCUAACACAUGCAAGUCGAACGAGAAAGGGGCUUCGGCUCCGAGUAAAGUGGCGCACGGGUGAGUAACACGUAGGUAACCUGCCUCUAAGAUUGGGAUAACAUGUCGAAAGACGUGCUAAUACCGAAUAAGACCACGGCUUCCUCGGAAGCAGGGGUCAAAGAUAGCCUCUACUUGUAAGCUAUCACUUAGAGAUGGGCCUGCGUACCAUUAGCAGUUGGUAGGUAAUGCCUACCAAGGCAAAGAUGGUUAGCUGGUCUGAGAGGAUGAUCAGCCACACUGGAACUGAGACACGGUCCAGACUCCUGCGGGAGGCAGCAGUGGGAAUAUUGCGCAAUGGGCGAAAGCCUGACGCAGCAACG
rnacentral:rRNA from 1 species